rnacentral:rRNA from 1 species
GAACGCUGGCGGCAGGCCUAACACAUGCUAGUCGAACGGAGUUAUAUUGUAGCUUGCUAUGGUAUAACUUAGUGGCAGACGGGUGAGUAAUGUAUAGGAAUCUACCUANUAGUACGGAAUAAUUGUUGGAAACGGCAACUAAUACCGUAUACGCCCUACGGGGGAAAAAUUUAUUGCUAUUAGAUGAGCCUAUAUUAGAUUAGCUAAUUGGUGGAGUAAUAGCCUACCAAGGCAAUGAUCUAUAGCUGAUCUGAGAGGAUGAUCAGCCACACUGGAACUGAGAUACGGUCCAGACUCCUACGGGAGGCAGCAGUGGGGAAUAUUGGACAAUGGGCGAAAGCCUGAUCCAGCCAUGCCGCAUGAGUGAAGAAGGCCUUUGGGUUGUAAAGCUCUUUUAGUGAGGAAGAUAAUGACGGUACUCACAGAAGAAGUCCUGGCUAACUCCGUGCCAGCAGCCGCGGUAAUACGGAGAGGGCUAGCGUUAUUCGGAAUUAUUGGGCGUAAAGGGCGCGUAGGCGGAUUAGUAAGUUAAAAGUGAAAUCCCAAGGCUCAACCUUGGAAUUGCUUUUAAAACUGCUAAUCUAGAGAUUGAAAGAGGAUAGAGGAAUUCCUAGUGUAGAGGUGAAAUUCGUAAAUAUUAGGAGGAACACCAGUGGCGAAGGCGUCUAUCUGGUUCAAAUCUGACGCUGAGGCNCGAAGGCGUGGGGAGCAAACAGGAUUAGAUACCCUGGUAGUCCACGCUGUAAACGAUG